GACGAACGCUGGCGGCGUGCUUAACACAUGCAAGUCGAACGGUAAGGCCCUUCGGGGUACACGAGUGGCGAACGGGUGAGUAACACGUGGGUGAUCUGCCCUACACUUCGGGAUAAGCCUGGGAAACUGGGUCUAAUACCGGAUAGGACUCCGGACUGCAUGGUCUGGGGUGGAAAGCUUUUGCGGUGUGGGAUGGGCCCGCGGCCGAUCAGCUUGUUGGUGGGGGGAUGGCCUACCAAGGCGACGACGGGUAGCCGGCCUGGGAGGGUGACCGGCCAAACUGGGACUGAGAUACGGCCCAGACUCCUACGGGAGGCAGCAGUGGGGAAUAUUGCACAAUGGGCGCAAGCCUGAUGCAGCGACGCCGCGUGAGGGAUGACGGCCUUCGGGUUGUAAACCUCUUUCAGCAUCGACGAAGCGAAAGUGACGGUAGGUGCAGAAGAAGGACCGGCCAACUACGUGCCAGCCGCCGCCGUAA
rnacentral:rRNA from 1 species